AGCACGUUUGCGAUGAUUGCUUCAUCGGUUACAAGCACUUUGGCAAGGUCGUGCAUUGCUGAUGAUCAACAAGCGGAUCAGCCAUCUUCCAUUUCAGCAGCAAGUCAAACGAGGCUGAGAAACCAUGUGGCCAGGAACAACUUCCAUGCAACCACUAGUGACUUAAUCCAUUGGCAGAACUGUGCAGAAUGAGGGGCCAGCGAGCAAUUUGGGAGCAGCACAGCGCAGUUGGCACCGUCCACUAGCGUUUUGGAGGAUGAUGUGGCAUAGAGCUAUGGGCACAGCCUAUUCGUGUUCAGAGGGGUGGAAGGGCGACGGGAGAGAGGCGCGCGAGGCUGGCGAUGUGGAGAAGGCUGGAAAACGAGCGCGCAAAGACCGUUUGUGCUGCGGCUCGAAUUUUUUUCUUUUGGAUUUCGCAUUUUAUUACCUUUUGGCACGGACACCCAGCAGCCAGACUUCAUCGUUAUAACCGAUAAUGCGACAUGGGGGCAUUGUAGUAAGCUGGUUAUUUUAACACAGAAAACAUAAAUACAAAAGUUGACGGUAUCGUAAGUGGGUUCAACUGUACUUAUUGCUGCAUAAUGUUUCAUUUCAUGUUCAUGUGAUCAUAGUUAAGAAUAUUAAUUCGAUUCUUUUUUUUAACAACUGGAGAUAAGUUCCUUUCAGCUUCCCAACAACCUUGAACUUGACUACAGUAUUUUUGUCACACUGUGGACUCCACACUCUUUGUUGCGCCAAAAGAAGCUUUUCCUUCUCCAAGUCGGCGUCUAGCACCACGUGCAGAAAGGAAUUUCACCCGACCUUCUCUCACCAUGCCUCGUCAGAAUGAAGCGUGACUUCCUAAUUCGCCAUGACCAUUUCGAGCGUCUGCCAGUCUGGCGGCAGCCCCACAGUGUUUACAGGCCUCUUUUUUGUGUGUGUGUGUGGCGACAUUAGAGGGACCCCUUCCUCGAAUGGCUAAGUUCUACCGGAGAACUUCCAUGAACCAGCUGCACGCAAGAGAGACGGACAAGCGUCUACAAUUCCAGGAGGCGGGAUGCCCUCCUUCUUGCCACUGGCUCGGUAUAACCAGAGGAGGAGGGGCCCUCUUUCUGUGCCGGUCACGUGACGUCGACGGAAGCAAGAUCCCUCCUACAAUUGUAGAGAGCCUAUUUAAGGGGCUCCGAAAUGUACUUUUGAACACUUCAUUCUCUUCUCAUCAUCCCUCAUCAACAUUUCAAUAAACCGUGCAAGUUUCACACUAAA